rnacentral:rRNA from 1 species
UAGGGAAUCUUCCACAAUGGACGCAAGUCUGAUGGAGCAACGCCGCGUGAGUGAAGAAGGUUUUCGGACCGUAAAGCUCUGUUGUUGGUGAAGAAGGAUAGAGGUAGUAACUGGCCUUUAUUUGACGGUAAUCAACCAGAAAGUCACGGCUAACUACGUGCCAGCAGCCGCGGUAAUACGUAGGUGGCAAGCGUUGUCCGGAUUUAUUGGGCGUAAAAGCGAGCGCAGGCGGAAGAAUAAGUCUGA